UACGUAGGGGGCAAGCGUUGUCCGGAAUUACUGGGCGUAAAGGGUGCGUAGGCGGCCUAAUAAGUCAGAUGUGAAAUACCAGGGCUCAACCUUGGGGGUGCAUUUGAAACUGUUGGGCUUGAGUGCAGGAGAGGAAAGUGGAAUUCCUAGUGUAGCGGUGAAAUGCGUAGAGAUUAGGAAGAACACCAGUGGCGAAGGCGCUUCUCUGGACUGUAACUGACGCUGAGGCUCGAAAGCGUGGGGAGCAAACAGGAUUAGAUACCCCGGUAGUCCCUGA
rnacentral:rRNA from 1 species